rnacentral:rRNA from 1 species
UACGUAGGGGGCAAGCGUUGUCCGGAAUCAUUGGGCGUAAAGCGCGUGUAGGCGGCCCGAUAAGUCCGCUGUGAAAGUCCAGGGCUCAACCCUGGAAUGCCGGUGGAUACUGUCGGGCUCGAGUCCGGAAGAGGCGAGUGGAAUUCCUGGUGUAGCGGUGAAAUGCGCAGAUAUCAGGAGGAACACCAAUGGCGAAGGCAGCUCGCUGGGACGGUACUGACGCUGAGGAGCGAAAGCGUGGGGAGCGAACAGG